CCUGUCCCUAGAGGCAUUGCUUGUGCAGCUAUUCUGUCGAAUGUGUGGCAUGUGUGUCAGCAGGUGGCAAAGAUAGGCUACACCUAUGCUCAGUGUUCUGACCCAUGAACACCUGAAUGAUUAGUAGCCUAACACU